rnacentral:rRNA from 1 species
AACGAACGCUGGCGGCAGGCCUAACACAUGCAAGUCGAGCGCUCUAGCAAUAGGGAGCGGCGCACGGGUGAGUAACGCGUAGGAAUCUACCUUGUAGUACGGAACAACAGUUGGAAACGACUGCUAAUACCGUAUACGCCCUUCGGGGGAAAGAAUUUCGCUAUAAGAUGAGCCUGCGUUAGAUUAGCUAGUUGGUAAGGUAAUGGCUCACCAAGGCUCCGAUCUAUAGCUGGUCUGAGAGGAUGAUCAGCCACACUGGGACUGAGACACGGCCCAGACUCCUACGGGAGGCAGCAGUGGGGAAUAUUGGGCAAUGGGCGCAAGCCUGACCCAGCCAUGCCGCGUGAGUGAUGACGGCCUUAGGGUUGUAAAGCUCUUUUAGUGGUGAGGAUGAUGACGGUAACCACAGAAAAAGCCCCGGCUAACUUCGUGCCAGCCGCCGCGGUAA